rnacentral:lncRNA from 14 species
CAAAAUUAGGAAGCCUGUAUAGCUUAUAAUUUAAAAUAUAUUCUGCAAACUCUAAACCCUACUGUUACAAGUGGUCUUUUUCUCCUUAAUGCCAGGCGAAUCCCUGCAGUGUUACACCUGUGUAGGUUCUAGUGAUGAAGACUGUAACAGACAAGGAACUCAGCAAUGUCCAGGGCAUUCAGAUGCGUGCGCAGUCAUUAGAGGACAAGCAAGUGGCAUUAUGAAGUCCUGUUCGUUCAGGUCCUUCUGUGAACGGGCAAAGAGGGAUGGAUCCAAAGCGCCUGGAGUGAGUGUUCAGUGCUGCUACUCCAACAACUGCAAUGCAAGGAGCCUGGCUUCAAGGGUCACCACCUCCAUGAGCUACUUCUCUCUCCUCAUCUUCACAUUGCUGUGGCACCCACUGUUGAAGCUGACAUGAGGUGGGGGGAAGAGUAUCCUGAAGCAACAAGUCUGCCUUCUUAGAAAGGAAUGAUUAUAUUUCCAUGUAUACUCCAUGUCCAUUUCACAGUAGGUAAAAAGCAGUAGGCAGACCUGACAGAUGUACAGAUAAAAGUUGUUCCAUCUGCUGAAUAUAUCUUCUAUAUGUAAGAAACACUGCCCUCUUCUUGUUUAAAGUAAGGGGUUGAUUCUAUGAAUAUCUCACAUUUUUCUACUCUAGAGAAGGAGAAAUCUUAGCUGCAAAUAGCCUUGUAUUAGGGCAAAGGAUCAAUCUUCCAAAUGCUGUUUACUGUUGGCAGACAUUCAAAACAAGCUAAAAUCUUCCAGCACAAAAUGCAUCACUAGCUAGUAGGCAGGCGGUCCUCUGAAGUAGUCAUGUUGAAAAGGCAAAACUAACGGUGACAUGCCACACAAUGUGAUAGCACUGAGGGUCUGUGUGAUAGCACACGUCUUAAGCUUGGGUCUGUGAUGCUGGAGAGCAGGGUGGUACCUCCUUUCAUCCAAAACUCAGGGAGACAGACAAGCAGAUGGAUGAAAUUUGUAGAUUUUAAUGUCAAAAAAUAACGAUUAGGUCUUACCUCUGACACCAAACAUGCAUAGGACUGGCUAAAGUCCAGCCAGUGUAAUUGAAGUAGAGGUGGUCUUUCAAGUUCUAGUUUUAGGUGUCCAUUUGGGAAAAGAUUUGGCUGUCAAGUUUAAGGAACUCACAAAAUGUGUGGCAAAGUAGGGUUUUUUCCUAGUUUUUGUGUUGUGACUGUUUUUUGGGUACAACUCUUUGAAAAGUCAAUGUCAUAGAAUCAUGCACAUUCACAGAGAUGUUAUGAAGGCUGCAAACUGUAGAGAGCUUCUUCAAGUUAUAUCAGUGAAACCUCCAUACAGAGCAUAACUCCAGCCUGCCUUAGCUGUUGCCUGUCACAUGGACCAAGCUGACUCCUUGCUUCACUGUACUUGCUCCUCUUCAGGGAUCCUUCCAACAUCCCACAUAGAUUGUGGCUUCAGACUGGGACUGUUAUUCUGAGGUUUAUUCAGUGGGCUCUCAGACGAGGCAGUUCUGCUCUCUCUGUAGUACUUAGGCACAAGUCUGAUAAAUCUGUUGAAUACAAAACUUGCAGUAAUGCAGCAGAUGCAGUAAUGUUAAUUUAGACUCAAGUAUCUGUGUAAAACCCACUUAAGUUGAUUUAAGUGUUUUUCAUUUCUUUUCAUCUCAGCUUGAACCAGUUUCUUCAAUCUGUUCUGCUGCAGGAUUAUGUCUUUAUUUCCUGACUGUUCUGUAACGAUAAACCCAUAUUGAAUGUCUUCUAUGUAUAUGCUCAGUGCACUUCCUUAAGGAGAAAAUAAAAU